GACCAGACUCCUACGGGAGGCAGCAGUGGGGGAUAUUGCACAAUGGGGGAAACCCUGAUGCAGCAACGCCGCGUGAGUGAAGAAGUAUUUCGGUAUGUAAAGCUCUAUCAGCAGGGAAGAGAAUGACGGUACCUGACUAAGAAGCCCCGGCUAACUACGUGCCAGCAGCCGCGGUAAUACGUAGGGGGCGAGCGUUAUCCGGAUUUACUGGGUGUAAAGGGAGCGUAGACGGCUGGUCAAGUCUGAAGUGAAAGCCCGGGGCUUAACCCCGGAACGGCUUUGGAAACUGAGCAGCUAGAGUGCUGGAGAGGUAAGCGGAAUUCCUAGUGUAGCGGUGAAAUGCGUAGAUAUUAGGAGGAACACCGGUGGCGAAGGCGGCUUACUGGACCAUAACUGACGUUGAGGCUCGAAAGCGUGGGGAGCGAACAGGAUUAGAUACCCGAGUA
rnacentral:rRNA from 1 species